rnacentral:rRNA from 1 species
AUUGAACGCUGGCGGCAGGCCUAACACAUGCAAGUCGAGCGAGCGGCGCACGGGUGAGUAAUGUAUGGGGACUGCCCGAUAGAGGGGGAUAACAAUAGGAAACGGUGGCUAAUACCCCACACUGUCGGAUAACCCAUAUGGGAUUAGCUAGUAGGUAAGGUAAUGGCUUACCUAGGCGACGCUCCCUAGCUGUUCUGAGAGGAUGAUCAGCCACACUGGGACUGAGACACGGCCCAGACGCUUACGGAGGCAGCAGUGGGGAAUAUUGCACAAUGGGCGCAAGCCUGAUGCAGCCAUGCCGCGUGUAUGAAGAAGGCCCUAGGGUUGUAAAGUACUUUCAGUCGGGAGGCGUUACCGACAGAAGAAGCACCGGCUAACUCCGUGCCAGCAGCCGCGGUAAUAC